UACGUAGGGGGCUAGCGUUGUCCGGAAUCAUUGGGCGUAAAGCGCGCGUAGGCGGUCCGGUAAGUCCGCUGUGAAAGUCAAGGGCUCAACCCUUGAAUGCCGGUUGAUACUGUCGGGCUAGAGUCCGGAAGAGGCGAGUGGAAUUCCCGGUGUAGCGGUGAAAUGCGCAGAUAUCGGGAGGAACACCAAUGGCGAAGGCGACUACCUGGCCUGUUCUUGACGCUGAGGCGCGAAAGCUAGGGGAGCAAACGGG
rnacentral:rRNA from 1 species